AAAAUAGGGAUCUUUUGGUGGUUUUUGGUGUUUUUGAGAUGGUAACCGGUAUGAAUUGUUCACUAAUUGAUUCAUUGAUAGGUAUUUAGCUUAUUGGAGUUUUUGGGUUUUAUUGAUUUAUUGCAUUUAGAUGGAACUCUUGUGAAUCACAAUACCAAAUAUUUUCCAAUUGGACCAGUUUAUUUGUUAUCUGUUUUAGUUUGAUGAUUUAUCAAUUAUCAUGUUGUAUAGGUUGUUUUCUUUGCUUCUGCUUCUGCUGUUAGUAUUUCUUUCCCUAUGAUAUAUGGAGCCUUUGUAAGGUUGACCACAACCAGUAUUCCAACUGAUGGGUGAGUACAUCAUGUGUAUUUAUUGAAAAUCAGGCAUAGUUGGUGCAAUUGUGUUCACUUGUUUUGAGUAAAAUAAAUGUCUUGUUUAAUAUAUGGCUUCAUUCUUGCUUGAGUACUAGAUUUUGGGGGUUGGGGCAUUGCUAAUAGUUACUGAGCAUGAGUGCAAGUUCCUAACUAUGCUUGAUUGUAAACUUUUGAUUACUUUCUAUAGGUGUUGUGCAAAAAGGUAUUUAAUGCUAUUUUUAGAGACUGUAAUGGUAUUUCCAUUUUCUACUUAUGUUUUGUUGAUUGAAAUUCUAUGGUGAUUGAAUUUGCUUCAUCGCCGUUUUCUAUCACAAGCACUAAAUCCCUAGUCAUCGACCUAAAUCCUUAAAUUGUUGUUUCCUUCAUUUCAAUACCUAAUCCCUAAAUUUUCGACGAAGCUUCUCAAUUUCUGGCUAGUGACAAAGCUUCUAUUUCUUUCUCUCGUUGAACAUAGUUCAUUGUUUUCAUAUCAGGUUCCUUGUUCUCUCUUUGAGCAAGUUAUCCUUUGAAAAAACAACUAUCAGCUGAUUGUAUCAUAGCUUUGCUUUGGAUCUGUUUUUGUUGGUUGUGAAGAUUAGUAGAAUGGCAUGUUAGGUUGAGAAUUGAAAUUUAAGAUUUUGUAUGAUUUUUAUGAUGUUUUUUUUUUUGAGAAUUGAUUGUUUGUUUUGUUUUGUGAGGUUUGGAUGAGUAGAUCUGCUUCAUACAUUUAGCUACUUGCCUUGUGAUCUUAAUUUCAUCGAUCAUACUAGUGACAUUGGAUGGAAAGAACACCAGUGUGCGAGGCCGACAAUUGUUGAUCCGGGGUAGUACAUGAAUAAGAAGUAAGAUGUGUUUUGUGUUACAUAGACGAGAAGUAAACCAGCUGCUUUCAAACUUUUCACAGGUGAAGAUUCUUUUUCUUGUCUUCUGGGUUUUUUUUCCUUUAUAUAUAUGUUGCUCUAUGUUUGCAUAGUGGUUUUAUACUUUUUUCAACAUUGCCAGCUUUUUAGUGUUAAUUUUGGUUUAGCUUCUAUCUUGUGGAGCUUUUCACUUGAAUUAAGUUUGCAGUUCACCACUUGUUGAAAAGUCUUUAUUGGUGUUCAUGAAGAAGUUAAAUGAGAGAGCUUUUGAGAAAAUUGAGAUAAAAAACUAAUGUCAACUUAUACAAGAAGCUAUUGGAUUUUAACAUAGUUAAUUGGAUUUUAUUCUAUUGACUUUGUAUCGUAAUUUCAUACAACAAUGAUGAAUUUUGAUUCUAAUAGCACCUAAUAAGAUUAAUCAUGAAAAUGUCAAAAAUUCACAUAAGAACUUUGAAACACCAAAUAAAAGGUAAUAUACAGAGGUUGAUUUUUUAAUAUAUGUUUCUUGUUGCUUACAUUUUUUCAUUUUCCUCUUCUGGUUUUUGAGCUACUUGUAGAGUCGGCUUUAGAGAUUUGUUACAAUAUUGGAAGUCAUGGUGCACAUUGAAGCAAAAUUGUAUGGAUGGAACUAGUAGCAUAUAAAAGGAUUUCCAACUUUUGUAGAAAAUGUGGUGUUCAUUUUUAUUCUAGAGUUGAUACAUUCAGUGGUGGAUGCUUUCUUUGUUAACUUAAAUUUUGUUCCCGAAUAGUAAAUGUUACUAGUAACUAAAACUUAAAUAUGAGAAACUUGACUAAAAUGUUGAGUUUCCCUUUCUUUGAGCAGAAUCUGAUUUAGUGUGUCUCCCUUUUGUUAGUCUGAAAUACUGAGUUUCCCCAAGUUUCUUAAUAGUUUUUUUUUUGUCUCUUGUUUGAGGGGUUUGGUCAUUCAUGCAAUUCAUUACUUUACUCACACAUAUAGUGAUUGAAUUCAACUAAAGAUAGAAGCAUUUCUCAUUUUGCGCAGCCAAUUUCUUAAGUCUGCUGCCAAAUUUUAACCCUGCUGCUGAUUUUGUAACUCUGCUACCGUUUUCGUAAUUGAAUAAGAAGAAUCGAGAAAUGAUUAAGGAUCAUGAAGCAACAUAACAUACUAGGGAUUGCUUUUUUUCCUUUUAGAGUUUCAAGUUGUUUAAUUAAAUUUUUUAUGUGUAUGAAUGUUGUCACUAUUAAAUUAAUUAUAUGAAUGAAAUUAAAUUAUUUA